rnacentral:rRNA from 1 species
UACGUAGGGGGCAAGCGUUGUCCGGAUUUAUUGGGCGUAAAGAGCGUGUAGGCGGCCAGACAGGUCAGCUGUGAAAACUCGAGGCUCAACCUCGAGACGUCGGUUGAAACCGUCUGGCUAGAGUCCGGAAGAGGAGAGUGGAAUUCCCGGUGUAGCGGUGAAAUGCGCAGAUAUCGGGGAAGAACACCCGUGGCGAAGGCGGCUCUCUGGGACGGUACUGACGCUGAGACGCGAAAGCGUGGGGAGCGAACAGG